rnacentral:rRNA from 1 species
UGGGGAAUUUUGGACAAUGGGCGAAAGCCUGAUCCAGCAAUGCCGCGUGUGUGAAGAAGGCCUUCGGGUUGUAAAGCACUUUUGUCCGGAAAGAAAUCCUUGGCUCUAAUACAGUCGGGGGAUGACGGUACCGGAAGAAUAAGCACCGGCUAACUACGUGCCAGCAGCCGCGGUAAUACGUAGGGUGCAAGCGUUAAUCGGAAUUACUGGGCGUAAAGCGUGCGCAGGCGGUUUGCUAAGACCGAUGUGAAAUCCCCGGGCUCAACCUGGGAACUGCAUUGGUGACUGGCAGGCUAGAGUAUGGCAGAGGGGGGUAGAAUUCCACGUGUAGCAGUGAAAUGCGUAGAGAUGUGGAGGAAUACCGAUGGCGAAGGCAGCCCCCCUGGGCCAAUACUGACGCUCAUGCACGAAAGCGUGGGGAGCAAACAGGAUUAGAUACCCUGGUAGUCCACGCCCUAAACGAUGUCAACUAGUUGUUGGGGAUUCAUUUCCUUAGUAACGUAGCUAACGCGUGAAGUUGACCGCCUGGGGAGUACGGUCGCAAGAUUAAAACUCAAAUGAAUUGACGGGGUCAUAGCGUUUCCU